UCCACCACUAGACACAUCAGCUCCUGUGCUGUGGGAAAAGGGUGUUUGCUAUGGCCAAUUGUUCCCAGCACUCAGCGGAAAAAUUGAACAUUGUUUUUGCUUUGGCCCAGCCACUUCAUCCUUUCUGAAGCUAUUAGUAUUUGCCCUCCUCUCUUCCCUAGUAGCACAUCGGACACCUUCUGACCUGGGGGCUUAUCUUCCAGUAUCAUAUCUUUUUGCCUUUUCCCACUCUUCAUGGGGUUCUAGCAGUGAGAAUACUGGAUCGGUUUGCCUCUCCCUCCUCUGGUGGACCACAUUUUGUCACAACUCUCCACUGUGACCCGUCGUCUCAAGUGGCCCUGCACAUCAUGGCUCUUGGCUUCACUGAGUUAUGCAAACCCCUUCACCAUGAUGAGGCUGUGAUCUAUGAAGGGAAGCUAAUUAUUUUUGGCAUACAUUCUAAAAUCAAGUGCAAGUCGUGUUCCUCAUUUCCAAUUCGGGAAGUUAAGAGUCUUUGUGCUAAUUGGAUAGGGGUAGCUUCAACCUAGCAUCAUCCUGUAUCCAUGGGCCCACCAGCCUGCAGUGACAUCAUCCUGCAAGCCUGGAGGAUGCAGCCCACAUCUCCUAUACACAAGGGAUGUCACUGCUGACUCUUAGUCUCCCGACCUUUGAAAAAUUAGAAGGAUGUGCAUGGAUGUGAUUGGAAACUGUAAAGCACCACGCAAUGAAAAACGGCUGUAAUCUUCCCUUGAACAUAAAUGAGUGGUCAGAACCCUGCAACCCUGCGAAUGACCCAAGCCUUCGGUCUGUUUCAGCACUGAAUUUAAGAACUUCUGAUACGGCUAAAGAAUUCACAGAAGACUGAAGAAUAAAUCAAUAAAAUAACUUCUAAAAAAUAUUUAUGGAAAGCAAUAAGCUCCAUCUUUGCCCUUUAUGACCACAACUAAUCUCUACAAAUCUCCCUUGAACAAUGACCUCACCUAACCCCUAGUCCUCGAAUUUAUCCUUAUCACUGUCUCAC